rnacentral:lncRNA from 12 species
GAUGGGAUGGGAUGGGAUGGGAUGGGAUGGGAUGGGAUGGGAUGGGAUGGGAUGGGAUGGGAUGGGAUGGGAUGGGAUGGGAUGGGAUGGGAUGGAGCACAUCCACCUGCUCUUCAGGGGGAUGCUGCUGCCACCCUGGGGCUGGCUCCCUGUGUGUGAGGUGGUUUGUACAGCCAGAGCCAUGGCUUCAAAGUGCUGUGCAGGCACCUGUGGGAGCAUUAUCUGUGCUGUGCAGAUGCUGCAGCGUGGUCAGAGCCAAGCACUGGAUGAGGGCAUCGUGGUGCUGGCAGGGGAUUCCUCACAGAGUGCUGCUGGACAACCCAUCCUGCCAAAAUACCUCCUGCUGGAGCUGCUUUUCCUCAAAACCUGGCAUGUUUUCUUUGCGGAGGAGCAGGGCCCAUUCCAGGUUUCCUCUGCAGUUUUUCUCAGGCUCCCAUCUGGAUUUGGUCAGAUGCUGAGUCCUGCUCCCCCUCAGUGAAACAGGCAGUGGUAGCUCUGCCAAAACAACCUGAAGGCAUCCAGGUAAGCAGAGAGCUGGAGUUGUUUGGGAUGUGAUUUUGGAAUGGAUGGCACCCCUUGUCUGACCAGUUGUGCACCAGGAUUAGAGAGGAGAGUGGAG